GACAUAGGUCGCAAACGUUAUCCGGAAUUAUUGGGCGUAAAGGAUGCGUAGAUGGUUCAAUAAGUUACUGGUGGGAAAUCGAGGCUCAACCUCGUGGAAGUCAGUAAUACUGUUGAACUUGAGUGCAGGAGAGGUUAACGGAACUUUAUGUGGAGCGGUAAAAUGCGUAGAUAUAUGAAAGAACAUCAAUAUGGCGAAGGCAGUUAACUAUUCUGUUACUGACGU
rnacentral:rRNA from 1 species